CCUACGGGAGGCAGCAGUAGGGAAUCUUCCACAAUGGGCGAAAGCCUGAUGGAGCAACGCCGCGUGGGUGAAGAAGGUCUUCGGAUCGUAAAACCCUGUUGUUAGAGAAGAAAGUGAGUGAGAGUAACUGUUCACGUUUCGACGGUAUCUAACCAGAAAGCCACGGCUAACUACGUGCCAGCAGCCGCGGUAAUACGUAGGUGGCAAGCGUUAUCCGGAUUUAUUGGGCGUAAGGGGAACGCAGGCGGUCUUUUAAGUCUGAUGUGAAAGCCCUCGGCUUAACCGGAGUAGUGCAUUGGAAACUGGGAGGCUUGAGUGCAGAAGAGGAGAGUGGAACUCCAAGUGUAGCGGUGAAAUGCGUAGAUAUAGGGAGGAACACCAGGGGCGAAGGCGGCUCGCUGGACUGUAACUGACGCUGAGGUUCGAAAGCGUGGGGAGCAAACAGGAUUAGAUACCCGUGUAGUC
rnacentral:rRNA from 1 species